UACCGCGAGGAGGAGCGAAUCACAAAACUCGGUCCCAGUUCAGAUUGCAGGCUGCAACUCGCCUGCAUGAAGUUGGAAUUGCUAGUAAUCGCGAAUCAGAAUGUCGCGGUGAAUACGUUCCCGGGCCUUGUACACACCGCCCGUCACACCAUGAGAGCCGAUAACACCCGAAGCCUGUGAGCUAACCGUAAGGGGGCAGCAGUCGAAGGUAGAAUCAAUGAUUGGGGUGAAGUCGUAACAAGGUAUC
rnacentral:rRNA from 1 species